rnacentral:rRNA from 1 species
UGGGGAAUCUUAGACAAUGGGGGAAACCCUGAUCUAGCCAUGCCGCGUGAGUGACGAAGGCCUUAGGGUUGUAAAGCUCUUUCGCCGGUGAAGAUAAUGACGGUAACCGGUAAAGAAGCCCCGGCUAACUUCGUGCCAGCAGCCGCGGUAAUACGAAGGGGGCUAGCGUUGUUCGGAAUUAUUGGGCGUAAAGCGUCCGCAGGUGGUGCCUCAAGUCUGCUGUCAAAGACCGAAGCUCAACUUCGGGCAGGCAGUGGAAACUGAAGCACUAGAGUACGGUAGGGGUAGAGGGAAUUUCCAGUGUAGCGGUGAAAUGCGUAGAGAUUGGAAAGAACACCAGUGGCGAAGGCGCUCUACUGGACCGUAACUGACACUCAGGGACGAAAGCUAGGGGAGCGAAAGGGAUUAGAUACCCCUGUAGUCC